rnacentral:lncRNA from 13 species
GGGCCAAGCGAGGAGAGAAACUUGAGUGGGAGACCUUGGGGCUGUUGGGAGAGGAUACAGAGAAGGUGGCUGCCUUGGAUGCUGUGAGUUUCUGUUUCCUUCCUCAUUAGUGUCUUUCUUACUGAGAAAAUCCCUUUUCCUUGAAGUAACUUGACUGAAUAUUUGACUGGUUCCCUUUUGCCAAGUGAACCCAAGAAAGAAAAGGAAAGAAAGGACAAGGAACCCAGCAUCCACUGAGGACCUGCUGUGUGGCAGGACAGUGCUGGGAGCCCCGCACACAUGCAGUCCUUGAGGACUGAUUGAGCAGCUCCGGGUGAUGGGGGCACAGGUACCAUGUUGUUCAGCAGAGCUCUAGAACUUACUCAUCUCACAUAACCAAAUUUUAUACCCAUUGAGCAAGAUUUCUCCAGGUCCCUUUCGCCCAGCUCCUGGAAACUGCCAUUCUAUUCUCUGCUUCUAUGAGUCUGACUAUUUUGAUACCCCAGGCUCAAGCCUUCAAGGACUAGG